CGCUAUGCGGGAGAGACACCGAAGAAAGGUGUCACCGAAGGAGCAAGCUUCCCCGCCAAUCUCUCAGGUACCCGUACCGCAU
rnacentral:ncRNA from 1 species